rnacentral:rRNA from 1 species
CUGUAGGUGGUACUGAAAGUNUGCUGUUAAAGAAUCACNCUCNACGUGAUCNAAGCAGUGGAAACUACNGAACUAGAGUGCGGUAGGGGCNAAAGGAAUUCCUGGUGUAGCGGUGAAAUGGGUNGAUAUCAGGAAGAACACCGGUGGCGAAAGCGUUUUGCUAGACCGCAACUGACACUGAGGGACGAAAGCUAGGGGAGCGAAUGGGAUUAGAUACCCCAGUAGUCCUAGCCGUAAACGAUGGAUACUAGGCGUGGCUUGUAUCGACCCCGAGCCGUGCCGGAGCUAACGCGUUAAGUAUCCCGCCUGGGGAGUACGCACGCAAGUGUGAAANUCAAAGGAAUUGACGGGGGCCCGCACAAGCGGUGGAGUAUGUGGUUUAAUUCGAUGCAACGCGAAGAACCUUACCAAGACUUGACAUCCUGCGAAUCCUGGUGAAAGCUGGGAGUGCCUUAGGGAGCGCAGAGACAGGUGGUGCAUGGCUGUCGUCAGCUCGUGUCGUGAGAUGUUGGGUUAAGUCCCCGCAACGAGCGCAACCCCUCGUUUUUAGUUGCCAGCAUUAAGAUGGGCACUCUAGAGAGACUGCCGGUGACAAACCGGACCAAGGUGAGGAUGACGUCAAGUCAGCAUGCCCCUUACGUCUUGGGCUACNNCGUACUACAAUGCUACGACAAGGGCAGCUACNCAGCGAUGUGAUGCAAUCUCAGAAACCGUAGCUCANUUCAAUCCAAGGCUGCACUCNCCUUCNUGAAGGAGAAUCCCUANUAUUGCAGGUCACNUACUGCAGUGAAUUCUUUCCGG